UCGAAUGGAACGCAAUCUUGAUG
rnacentral:siRNA from 1 species